UACGUAGGGGGCUAGCGUUGUCCGGAAUCAUUGGGCGUAAAGCGCGUGUAGGCGGCCCGGUAAGUCCGCUGUGAAAGUCGGGGGCUCAACCCUCGAAAGCCGGUGGAUACUGUCGGGCUAGAGUACGGAAGAGGCGAGUGGAAUUCCUGGUGUAGCGGUGAAAUGCGCAGAUAUCAGGAGGAACACCCAUUGCGAAGGCAGCUCUCUGGGCCGUAACUGACGCUGAGGAGCGAAAGCAUGGGGAGCGAACAGG
rnacentral:rRNA from 1 species